rnacentral:rRNA from 1 species
UUGCUAACCGCCCAAAUGGUGGUCCACCAAUCCCUUCGGGGUGCGGGGAUUACCGGCUGCGCGGGACCCAGGUGGGUAGUAGUCAAGCGAUGGGGUGACGCAGGAAGGUAGCCGUACCAGUCAGUGGUAAUACUGGGGUAAGCCUGUAGGGAGUCAGAUAGGUAAAUCCGUCUGGCAUAUAUCCUGAGAGGUGAUGCAUAGCCGAUUGAGGCGAAUUCGGUGAUCCUAUGCUGUCGAGAAAAGCCUCUAGCGAGCGCACACACGGCCCGUACCCCAAACCAACACAGGUGGUCAGGUAGAGAAUACCGAGGCGUACGAGUGAACUAUGGUUAAGGAACUCGGCAAAAUGCCCCCGUAACUUCGGGAGAAGGGGGACCCACACACCGUCAACACCCUCGCGGUGGGUAGCGGUAGUGGGUGGCACAAACCAGUGAGAAGCGACUGUUUACUAAAAACACAGGUCCGUGCGAAGUCGCAAGACGAUGUAUACGGACUGACGCCUGCCCGGUGCUGGAAGGUUAAGAGGACCCGUUAACCCUUCGGGGUGAAGCGGAGAAUUUAAGCCCCAGUAAACGGCGGUGGUAACUAUAACCAUCCUAAGGUAGCGAAAUUCCUUGUCGGGUAAGUUCCGACCUGCACGAAUGGCGUAACGACUUCUCAACUGUCUCAACCAUAGACUCGGCGAAAUUGCAUUACGAGUAAAGAUGCUCGUUACGCGCGGCAGGACGAAAAGACCCCGGGACCUUCACUACAACUUGGUAUUGGUGCUCGAUACGGUUUGUGUAGGAUAGGUGGGAGACUGUGAAGCUCACACGCCAGUGUGGGUGGAGUCGUUGUUGAAAUACCACUCUGAUCGUAUUGGGCCUCUAACCUCGAACCGUAUAUCCGGUUCAGGGACAGUGCCUGGUGGGUAGUUUAACUGGGGCGGUUGCCUCCUAAAAUGUAACGGAGGCGCCCAAAGGUUCCCUCAACCUGGACGGCAAUCAGGUGUUGAGUGUAAGUGCACAAGGGAGCUUGACUGCGAGACGGACAUGUCGAGCAGGGACGAAAGUCGGGACUAGUGAUCCGGCACCUCUGAGUGGAAGGGGUGUCGCUCAACGGAUAAAAGGUACCCCGGGGAUAACAGGCUGAUCUUCCCCAAGAGUCCAUAUCGACGGGAUGGUUUGGCACCUCGAUGUCGGCUCGUCGCAUCCUGGGGCUGGAGCAGGUCCCAAGGGUUGGGCUGUUCGCCCAUUAAAGCGGCACGCGAGCUGGGUUUAGAACGUCGUGAGACAGUUCGGUCUCUAUCCGCCGCGCGCGUCAGAAGCUUGAGGAAACCUGUCCCUAGUACGAGAGGACCGGGACGGACGAACCUCUGGUCUACCAGUUGUCCCACCAGGGGCACUGCUGGAUAGCUACGUUCGGACAGGAUAACCGCUGAAAGCAUCUAAGCGGGAAACCUUCUCCAAGACCAGGCUUCUCACCCAUUAAGUGGGAUAAGGCCCCCCGCAGACCACGGGAUCGAUAGACCAGACCUAGAAACCCAGCAAUGGGCGCAGGGAACUGGCACUAACCGGCCGAAAACUUACAACAACA